rnacentral:rRNA from 1 species
UACGGAGGAUCCGAGCGUUAUCCGGAUUUAUUGGGUUUAAAGGGUGCGCAGGCGGGAGAUUAAGUCGGUGGUGAAAUUUUGCAGCUCAACUGUAACAGUGCCAUUGAUACUGGUUUUCUUGAGUGUGGAUGAAGUAGGCGGAAUUUGUGGUGUAGCGGUGAAAUGCAUAGAUAUCACGAGGAACUCCGAUCGCGUAGGCAGCUUACUAAACCAUAACUGACGCUCAUGCACGAAGGCGUGGGGAUCAAACAGGAUUAGA